UGUUUUAGGCCUACAGCAUUAAAAUUGGACUCAUGUACUAGGAAUAUCAUUUCUUUAGCAGAAUUAUCCCACUGAAUUAAAAGGAACUCUUUUUUCAGGUGCGCAUGAUGCAACUUCCUGGAUGGUGUGUAGGCUGUUUGUCAACAUGUGAAUCCCACGUGCAUUUCGGGGUAGGAGUUGUCUCCCCUUGAAAAGAUCAAUAAUGGCAGAUAAACGAUGCGGCAUGCAGUCUGGUCACCAACGGACAGUUUUGACACCCGUAUACCCGGAUUUCUACCAAUUACCUCUGUAACCUUUGUUGUGUUCAUCACACAGUAAUUUUGUCUAUUUUGUUGUUGUUUUAGAUGAUGGACCACUCUACUUCCUUUGACAACAGGUGCCCCUACAGAUUCACAAAGUUCCAGUGUUGAGUUUCCAUGACCCCUAUUUAUCCACGACAGGAAAAGGAAUAGAGUUGACAGGACUUCCCGCACUGUCCCUGGUAGCAGUUUAUGAGGGAACCAACCGCAGUAGACAUAGCACGCUUCAUCAAAGAUGCACCAGACGCAGCGGCACUGUCUCCAUCACUGGUGAAAUGGGAUAUGACUAGUGGCUGGUCAUCACUUUGUAACUCACCAACACAAUUAGCAGCCCAUCUCUUCUCGUCUCCAAUGGUGGUCUCCGGAGGAAUGGUUGCAGUGCAGUCUUCAUGUCCUGGGCAGGUCUGUUGCAUGUUGGUGGCUGACGCUGGUUCAAUAUUUGCACCAAGAAGCAUACCACGCAUACCCUCUGUUGUAAGACUGGUACCCAGGUGACCGACAGCCAUGGCCACAUUCAGCUGUGCAGCUCUUCCUCCCCUGCCAGAUCUUCUCACCUCUUCGUAAAGCUUUUCUCGGUGACUGGUAUAGUGGCACUUCUUACAUCAAAUGGAAAGGAUCCAUGCCAGGCCUCGUUUUUCCUCCCCAUGCUGAUUCCAGUCCGGUUGACCAUCACAGUCUGGAAACUUCUAGCUGCCUGGUCUUCUAAGAGAAACUCCAUUCUUUGAUGACUGAUGGAAAAGCCUCAUCACCCCCCACUGCUUAAGAACCCCUUAUCUUAAUCACCAGCCAUUAAUCAGUGAUCACUGUUAUCAAAGCUCCAAGGUACAUUAUUGAAGUCUAUUUUGACACCAUUUUUUCCAGUCUCUGACUUUGUUUUAAAAUUAAGAUUUUCACUUUUUUGCUAAUUAAUUCCUUAAAAAUCAGUGAACUUCCUGUUUCUUAGCUAAUUAGAGCUCAUUAAUUAGAGUUGAAAUUAUUUUUUAGCAGAUAGCCAAAAACUACAAUAUUUCAGCUUU